rnacentral:sRNA from 1 species
GUUCACGCACUGCGUUCCUUCUGCAGAGUCAUCAGGACCACAGCCUACCUUCUCUACAGCCUGCAUUUGAAUUCCUGUCUUUAUUACUGGGCAUCGGCCUAUCAGGGCCUCGGCUCCACUCACUGGGUUUACGAUGGCGUGGGAAACAGUUAUAUUCGCUGUUACUACUUUGCUGUGAAGACCCUCAUCACCAUCGGGGGGCUGCCUGACCCCAAGACACUCUUUGAAAUUGUCUUCCAGCUGCUGAACUAUUUCACCGGCGUCUUUGCUUUCUCUGUGAUGAUCGGACAGAUGAGAGAUGUGGUAGGGGCUGCCACCGCGGGACAGACCUACUACCGCAGCUGCAUGGACAGCACGGUGAAGUACAUGAACUUCUACAAGAUCCCCAAGUCCGUGCAGAACCGUGUCAAGACCUGGUACGAGUACACCUGGCACUCGCAAGGCAUGCUGGAUGAGUCAGAGCUGAUGGUGCAGCUUCCAGACAAGAUGCGGCUGGACCUCGCCAUCGACGUGAACUACAACAUCGUUAGCAAAGUCACACUCUUUCAGGGCUGUGACCGGCAGAUGAUCUUUGACAUGCUGAAGAGGCUUCGCUCUGUUGUCUACCUGCCGAACGACUAUGUGUGCAAGAAGGGGGAGAUUGGCCGUGAGAUGUACAUCAUCCAGGCGGGGCAAGUGCAGGUCUUGGGGGG